rnacentral:rRNA from 1 species
GGUUAAGCGACUAAGCGUACACGGUGGAUGCCCUGGCAGUCAGAGGCGAUGAAGGGCGUGCUAAUCUGCGAUAAGCGCCGGUAAGGUGAUAUGAACCGUUAUAACCGGCGAUACCCGAAUGGGGAAACCCAGUGUGACUCGUCACACUAUCAUUAACUGAAUCCAUAGGUUAAUGAGGCGAACCGGGGGAACUGAAACAUCUAAGUACCCCGAGGAAAAGAAAUCAACCGAGAUUCCCCCAGUAGCGGCGAGCGAACGGGGAGGAGCCCAGAGCCUGAAUCAGCAUGUGUGUUAGUGGAAGCGUCUGGAAAGACGCGCGAUACAGGGUGACAGCCCCGUACACAAAAGCGCAUGUGCUGUGAGCUCGAUGAGUAGGGCGGGACACGUGGUAUCCUGUCUGAAUAUGGGGGGACCAUCCUCCAAGGCUAAAUACUCCUGACUGACCGAUAGUGAACCAGUACCGUGAGGGAAAGGCGAAAAGAACCCCGGCGAGGGGAGUGAAAAAGAACCUGAAACCGUGUACGUACAAGCAGUGGGAGCACCCUU